GCGUCUGGCCACCCCCAGUCAAUGUCAGCCUUAUCACAAUCGCUCCACCCGCGUCAGCUCCCACGCGCCCGACGCCGCACUACGUGGCUAAACGUCCAGAGAAGGACCUGGAGAUCUCGAGGCCUGAACGUAAAGGACCACCAGUUUCUUGUUGGAUACCCAAAACAAACACAGAGGAAGAAAAUCCAGCUGUUUCCAGAGCAAUGGAAUCAGGAGCCUGGUGCUGGAAAAGCGCCAGGCGUCACGAGAUUUGUAGCCCAGGCUGAAAUGUCCUGUGCUUGCAUUUUGACCUUUGCCUGGCACCCACGGCUGGCCUGCCUUCUCUGCCCCAGCUCCUCCUCCUGACUGGCGUCCCUAUGUUUGAAUCUGGGCUGGAACUGGUUCUGAGACAACAUAAACAGAGCGUGACUCAUGGAUUUGAAGAAGUGUAAGGGUGGAGAGCAUGAAGUCAUCAAGGUUAGAAGAAGCGAUGCCAGCGAUGAAUACCAGGCUUCACGUACGUUCAAGGAGAGAUGAUUCCAUUCAUUUUAUAAGGUUCGCCCAGAAGUGUGGUUGCUGGGUUCUUGAAAAUACAGAGGUCAAAUUGUUUUCCCAACAAUAUUUUCCUCAGGGGUGGGUAUCACCUACAGAGUAGUUGUCCUGAUGAAAAGGCCUUAUUGGGCACGGAAAGCUCUGACUGGCAUGCUGGUGGAAGACCCUCAGUGGUACAGAGAGUCAGCCCAGGUCCCUCUGGCAUACCGGGUUUCCAUCUUAGAAUCUUUGGAUGCUGGGGCAGCCUUCUGAUCCUGCUGGCAGUAACUCCAGACCUAUAUCUUGGAAGCAUUGGAGAUAGAGGUCAUGGAUGCUUUGUGCUGUGAAAAUAGAAUGACUACUAGGUGGUACUGGGCAAGCAGCCCUCUUGCCUGAUUUUAUAUACAUGACUCUUAGUGACUUGGCCUUAAAAACUGUGCAAAAUAAAGUGAACUGAAUUUAACCAGCAAAACAAGAACAUGAAAUGCAUAACCCACUUCUUGAUUUUCUCCUAGUAGUGUUUCCUGCAUAUAAAGACAAAUGAAUUGAUGUA